rnacentral:rRNA from 1 species
UACUGGGAGUGGCGCACGGGUGCGUAACGCGUACACAAUCUACCUCUAAGCGGGGGACACCUCCUGGAAACGGGGAUUAAUACCGCAUAAUAUGCCGAGGUCGCAUGACUUUGGUAUUAAAGCAGCAAUGCACUUAGAGAUGAGUGUGCGUCCCAUUACGUAGUUGGUGAGGUAACGGCUCACCAAGCCUAUGAUGGGUAGCCGGUCUGAGAGGAUGGUCGGCCACACGGGCACUGAUACACGGGCCCGACUCCUACGGGAGGCAGCCGUAAGGAAUAUUGGUCAAUGGUGGAAACACUGAACCAGCCAUGCCUCGUGGAGGAAUAAGGUCCUACGGAUUGUAAACUCCUUUUGACGAGGAAGAAAGUGUUAGAUUUAUCUAAUUUUGACGGUACUCGUAGAAUAAGCACCGGCUAACUCCGUGCCAGCAGCCGCGGUAAUACUGAGGGUGCAAGCGUUA